rnacentral:rRNA from 1 species
UUGAACUCGGAGGACAUUACACAAAUAUGAAGGCGGGCUGGAACCUCUCGGGGUUACAGCCUUGCUGAAUUAUUCACCCUUGUCUUUUGCGUACUUCUUGUUUCCUUGGUGGGUUCGCCCACCACUAGGACAAACAUAAACCUUUUGUAAUUGCAAUCAGCGUCAGUAACAAAUUAAUAAUUACAACUUUCAACAACGGAUCUCUUGGUUCUGGCAUCGAUGAAGAACGCAGCGAAAUGCGAUAAGUAGUGUGAAUUGCAGAAUUCAGUGAAUCAUCGAAUCUUUGAACGCACAUUGCGCCCUUUGGUAUUCCAAAGGGCAUGCCUGUUCGAGCGUCAUUUGUACCCUCAAGCUUUGCUUGGUGUUGGGCGUCUUGUCUCUAGCUUUGCUGGAGACUCGCCUUAAAGUAAUUGGCAGCCGGCCUACUGGUUUCGGAGCGCAGCACAAGUCGCACUCUCUAUCAGCAAAGGUCUAGCAUCCAUUAAGCCUUUUUUUUCAACUUUUGACCUCGGAUCAGGUAGGGAUACCCGCUGAACUUAAGCAUAUCUAAAAGGGGGAAGAAA